rnacentral:rRNA from 1 species
GCCGGACCUGACUGCUAUCGGAUUGAUACUAAGCCAUGCGAGUCAUUGUAGCAAUACAAGGCAUACGGCUCAGUAACGCGUAGUCAACCUAACCUAUGGACGGGAAUAACCUCGGGAAACUGAGAAUAAUACCCGAUAGAACAUUAUACCUGGAAUGGUUUAUGUUCCAAAUGAUUUAUCGCCGUAGGAUGGGACUGCGGCCUAUCAGUUUGUUGGUGAGGUAAUGGCCCACCAAGACUAUUACAGGUACGGGCUCUGAGAGGAGUAGCCCGGAGAUGGGUACUGAGACACGGACCCAGGCCCUAUGGGGCGCAGCAGGCGAGAAAACUUUGCAAUGUGCGAAAGCACGACAAGGUUAAUCCGAGUGAUUUCUGCUAAAGAAAUCUUUUGUUAGUCCUAGAAACACUAACGAAUAAGGGGUGGGCAAGUUCUGGUGUCAGCCGCCGCGGUAAAACCAGCACCUCAAGUGGUCAGGAUGAUUAUUGGGCCUAAAGCAUCCGUAGCCGGCUCUGUAAGUUUUCGGUUAAAUCUGUACGCUUAACGUACAGGCUGCCGGGAAUACUGCAUAGCUAGGGAGUGGGAGAAGUAGACGGUACUCGGUAGGAAGUGGUAAAAUGCUUUGAUCUAUCGAUGACCACCUGUGGCGAAGGCGGUCUACUAGAACACGUCCGACGGUGAGGGAUGAAAGCUGGGGGAGCAAACCGGAUUAGAUACCCGGGUAGUCCCAGCUGUAAACUAUGCAAACUCAGUGAUGCAUUGGCUUGUGGCCAAUGCAGUGCUGCAGGGAAGCCGUUAAGUUUGCCGCCUGGGAAGUACGUACGCAAGUAUGAAACUUAAAGGAAUUGGCGGGGGAGCACCACAAGGGGUGAAGCCUGCGGUUCAAUUGGAUUCAACGCCGGA